AAUAAUUUAUCAGUACUCCACCUAGCCAUCACAAACAUUUUAGUCAUUCUUCGCUUGUCCACAACCACGAAUACCGUACCAAGGGACCGCCACAAUAUUGACAACAACUUGUGCAAUUGUUUUUACAGUGGGAGGGCAAGACUCAUGUGGGUGUGCAAAAUUAAUGCAGGUAGUUGCCCAAGGAAUCUUUCGUUCUUAAAAUUUUAACAACCGUUCAAGUGAAAAUUGGUGAAGUGUAGCGUUGGAGUGCAAACGAACAGUGCAAAAUCUUUACAGGAACAACAUGUCAGAUGUCAUCUUAAAAUAAAUUUGAAUAUGUAAAACAUUUGGAGAAACAGUUUA